UCCGAGUUGACCCCGGCAGUAUCCCAUGAGUUCCCACCAUAACGUGCUGGCAACAUAGGACGAGGGUUGCGCUCGUUGCGGGACUUAACCCAACAUCUCACGACACGAGCUGACGACAACCAUGCACCACCUGUAUAGGACCCUUGCGGACCCGACAUUUCUGCCGGAUUUCCCUGUAUGUCAAGCCUUGGUAAGGUUCUUCGCGUUGCGUCGAAUUAAGCCACAUGCUCCGCCGCUUGUGCGGGCCCCCGUCAAUUCCUUUGAGUUUUAAUCUUGCGACCGUACUCCCCAGGCGGGAUGCUUAAUGCGUUAGCUGCGCCACUGACGAGUAAACCCGCCAACGGCUAGCAUCCAUCGUUUACGGCGUGGACUAC
rnacentral:misc_RNA from 1 species